UUUGAGUUCUGGCUCAGGAUGAACGCUGGCGGCGUGCUUAACACAUGCAAGUCGAACGAAGCACUUAAACAGAUUCUCGGAUUGACGUUUUAGUGACUUAGUGGCGGACGGGUGAGUAACGCGUGGGUAACCUACCCUGUACAGGGGGAUAACAGUUAGAAAUGACUGCUAAUACCGCAUAAGCGCACAGUAUCGCAUGAUACAGUGUGAAAAACUUUUGUGGUACAGGAUGGACCCGCGUCUGAUUAGCUAGUUGGUGAGGUAACGGCCCACCAAGGCAACGAUCAGUAGCCGACUUGAGAGAGUGAUCGGCCACAUUGGGACUGAGACACGGCCCAAACUCCUACGGGAGGCAGCAGUGGGGAAUAUUGCACAAUGGGGGAAACCCUGAUGCAGCGACGCCGCGUGAAGGAUGAAGUAUUUCGGUAUGUAAACUUCUAUCAGCAAGGAAGAAUAAUGACGGUACUUGACUAAGAAGCCCCGGCUAAAUACGUGCCAGCCGCCGC
rnacentral:rRNA from 1 species